rnacentral:rRNA from 1 species
CGCGUAGGCGGUACCUUAAGUCAGAUGUGAAAACCCGAGGCUCAACUUCGGAGGUGCAUUUGAAACUGGGGAACUUGAGUGCAGGAGAGGAAAGCGGAAUUCCUAGUGUAGCGGUGAAAUGCGUAGAUAUUAGGAGGAACACCAGUGGCGAAGGCGGCUUUCUGGACUGUAACUGACGCUGAGGCGCGAAAGCGUGGGGAGCAAACAGGAUUAGAUACCCUGGUAGUCCACGCUGUAAACGAUGGAUACUAGGUGUGGGAGGUAUCGACCCCUUCGUGCCGCAGUAAACGCAAUAAGUAUCCCGCCUGGGGAGUACGGCCGCAAGGUUGAA